UACGUAGGUGGCAAGCGUUGUCCGGAAUUAUUGGGCGUAAAGCGCGCGCAGGCGGUCUUUUAAGUCUGCUGUGAAAGCCCACGGCUCAACCGUGGAGGGUCAUUGGAAACUGGAGGACUUGAGUGCAGAAGAGGAAAGUGGAAUUCCACGUGGAGCUGUGAAAGGGGUAGAGAUGUGGAGGAACACCAGUGGCGAAGGCGACUUUCUGGUCUGUAACUGACGCUGAGGCGCGAAAGCGUGGGGAGCAAACAGG
rnacentral:misc_RNA from 1 species